CGGGGGGGGUAAGCGUUGUUCGGAAUUACUGGGCGUAAAGGGUUUGUAGGUGGCUUGCUAAGUCAGACGUGAAAUCCCUCAGCUUAACUGGGGAACUGCGUCUGAUACUGGCGAGCUUGAGUGCAGGAGAGGAACGCGGAAUUCCAGGUGUAGCGGUGAAAUGCGUAGAUAUCUGGAGGAACACCGGUGGCGAAGGCGGCGUUCUGGACUGCAACUGACACUGAAAAACGAAAGCCAGGGGAGCAAACGGGAUUAGAUACCCCGGUAGUCCUGGCCCUAAACGAUGAAUGCUUGGUGUGGCGGGUAUCGAUCCCUGCCGUGCCGAAGUUAACGCGUUAAGCAUUCCGCCUGGGGAGUACGGUCGCAAGGCUG
rnacentral:rRNA from 1 species